CUCUACGGCCAUACCACCCCGAACGCGCCCGAUCUCGUCUGAUCUCGGAAGCUCAGCAGGGUCGGGCCUGGUUAGGACUUGGAUGGGAGACUGAAGAAGAGGUGAGGGGAGUGGCAGAUU
rnacentral:rRNA from 1 species